GGCAUUUAUCAUCUCACAUCAUCACAAGGAGAAGGAGUACAGUACAAUAAGCUAAAUUAUGGUCUAAAACAAUACAUGGACCAGAACUUGGAAAAAUGCUCAACUUUAUCAACCACUGGCUGAGUAGCAGUUUACCUACUACCUACAGCACACAGUGAGCACUGUUUCUGGGCAACACCUGAACCAGAAUCACAUAGAUAAAAAUAUGGUCUUAUGCCUCAUCCCACCAUCACUGAAACAGAAUUUUUGGGCUUCGGUCCUGGGACUUUAUAUUUUAACAAGUUCCCCCGGUGAUUUUCAAGUACACUAAGGUUUGAAAAUCAGUGGUGAAGGAAAAGUAGAAGCAAUUACUGGUAAUAGAAGAAUGAAGAUAGCAGCAUAACACCCUUAAGUGUAUUAAUAAAUCCUAUAACUUGGA